rnacentral:rRNA from 1 species
CAAUAGCUACUUGCAUCAUUCUAAAUAUGAUGCAAGAUCGACUAUGUCGAAUAAAAUUCUAGGUAGAAUUAUGAUAAUGACAUUGUCUGCCUAUGUGUCUUGACCAAAUUACGUGCCAGCAGUCGCGGUAAUACGUAGAAGACUAGUGUUAUUCAUGUUUAAUCGGUUUAAAGGGUACCUAGACGGUAAAUCAAGCCUAAAAGGAAAUAAAUGAAGGGACUAAUUUACUAGAGUUACUUAUGAGGGGGUAUUAAAGUACUGCUGGUGUAGAGAUGAAAUUCUGUCAUACCUCUUUUCAAUAGAAAAAUAAUGGCACAGGUAUAGGCGAAAGCAUCCCCUUAUGUGAUAACUGACGUUGAGGGACGAAGGCUUUGUGUAGCGAACAGGAUUAGAUACCCCAGUAGUCAAAGCAGAAAAUGAUGAAUGUCAUAGAUUAGAUAUAUAAGUUUAUUCUAUAAAUGAAAGUGUAAGCAUUCCACCUCAAGAGUAAUUUGGCAACAUUGGAACUGAAAUCAUUAGACCGUUUCUGAAACCAGUAGUGAAGUAUGUUGUUUAAUUUGAUGAUCCGCAAAAAACCUUACCACAAUUUGAAUAUUUAUAUCUUUUGUUGUUUUUCUUUUUAACUUUCUUCUGAUUUUCUACUUAAAAGAAAACAAUAACAAGAAAAAAGAGGCAAUAAGAU